rnacentral:lncRNA from 1 species
UUUAUUUAUUUUAUUAUAUUUUUAAUUCAUUUAUUUUAUUUGAUUAAAUAUUAAAUAAUCAAUUUAAUCAAAUAUUGGUUAAUUAAUUCCUUGUUUAAUAUAUCAUUUGCUCUAUCAUAUCUCCCAUGCCUCAUGCACUUCCACAUAUCAUUUUUACUUCACUUAGAAUUAUAUUUCUAUUAUUAUUACUUAUUUAUUUGCUUAAUUAAAUAAUUAAAUUCAAUGAAUAUUCAUAAUGAUGAUAAAUAUAUUUUCUAAUUUAAAAACCUUU